rnacentral:rRNA from 1 species
AUUGAACGCUGGCGGCAGGCCUAACACAUGCAAGUCGAACGGUAGCACAGAGAGCUUGCUCUCGGGUGACGAGUGGCGGACGGGUGAGUAAUGUCUGGGAAACUGCCCGAUGGAGGGGGAUAACUACUGGAAACGGUAGCUAAUACCGCAUAACGUCUUCGGACCAAAGUGGGGGACCUUCGGGCCUCACACCAUCGGAUGUGCCCAGAUGGGAUUAGCUAGUAGGUGGGGUAAUGGCUCACCUAGGCGACGAUCGCUAGCUGGUCUGAGAGGAUGGCCAGCCACACUUGAACAGAGACACGGUCCAGACUCCUACGGGAGGCAGCAGUGGGGAAUAUUGCACAAUGGGCGCAAGCCGGAUGCAGCCAUGCCGCGUGUAUGAAGAAGGCCUUCGGGUUGUAAAGUACUUUCAGCGGGGAGGAAGGCGGUGGAGUUAAUAGCUUCAUCGAUUGACGUUACCCGCAGAAGAAGCACCGGCUAACUCCGUGCCAGCCGCCGCAGUAA